UACAGAGGUCUCAAGCGUUGUUCGGAUUCAUUGGGCGUAAAGGGUGCGUAGGCGGCGCGGUAAGUCGGGUGUGAAAUCUCGGAGCUUAACUCCGAAACUGCAUUCGAUACUGCCGUGCUUGAGGACUGGAAAGGAGACUGGAAUUUACGGUGUAGCGGUGAAAUGCGUAGAUAUCAGGAGGAACACCGGUGGUGUAAACGGCUCUCUGGACCGUAACUGACGCUGAGGCACGAAAGCGUGGGUAGCAAACAGG
rnacentral:rRNA from 1 species